GAGAAACGCUGGCGGCGCACAUAAGACAUGCAAGUCGAACGGAGUUUAGUCGAAUGUUUACAUGAGACGAAGACUUAGUGGCGGACUGGUGAGUAACACGUGAGCAACCUGCCUCUAAGAGGGGAAUAACAGUGAGAAAUCAUUGCUAAUACCGCAUGAUACCUUGACCAAAGAUUUAUCGCUGAGAGAUGGGCUCGCGUCCGAUUAGGUAGAUGGUGGGGUAACGGCCUACCAUGCCGACGAUCGGUAGCCGGACUGAGAGGUUGAUCGGCCACAUUGGGACUGAGAUACGGCCCAGACUCCUACGGGAGGCAGCAGUGGGGAAUAUUGGGCAAUGGGGGAAACCCUGACCCAGCAACGCCGCGUGAAGGAAGAAGGCCUUCGGGUUGUAAACUUCUUUUAGCAGGGACGAAGAACGUGACGGUACCUGCAGAAAAAGCAACGGCUAACUACGUG
rnacentral:rRNA from 1 species